AUUGAACGCUGGCGGCAGGCCUAACACAUGCAAGUCGAGCGGAGAUGAGGUGCUUGCACCUUAUCUUAGCGGCGGACGGGUGAGUAAUGCUUAGGAAUCUGCCUAUUAGUUGGGGACAACAUUCCGAAAGGAAUGCUAAUACCGCAUACGUCCUACGGGAGAAAGCAGGGGAUCUUCGGACCUUGCGCUAAUAGCUGAGGCUAAGUCGGAUUAGCUAGUGGGGGGGGUAAAGGCCUACCAAGGCGACGAUUUGUAGCGGGUCUGAGAGGAUGAUCCGCCACACUGGGACUGAGACACGGCCCAGACUCCUACGGGAGGCAGCAGUGGGGAAUAUUGGACGAUGGGGGGAACCCUGAUCCAGCCAUGCCGCGUGUGUGAAGAAGGCCUUAUGGUUGUAAAGCACUUUAAGCGAGGAGGAGGCUACUGAGACUAAUACUCUUGGAUAGUGGACGUUACUCGCAGAAUAAGCACCGGCUAACUCUGUGCCAGCCGCCGCCGUAAAAC
rnacentral:rRNA from 1 species